rnacentral:rRNA from 1 species
CCUACGGGCGGCUGCAGUGGGGAAUAUUGGACAAUGGGCGAAAGCCUGAUCCAGCCAUGCCGCGUGUGUGAAGAAGGCCUUCGGGUUGUAAAGCACUUUCAGUGGGGAAGAAAGCCUUGGGGCUAAUACCCUCGAGGAAGGACAUCACCCACAGAAGAAGCACCGGCUAACUCCGUGCCAGCAGCCGCGGUAAUACGGAGGGUGCGGGCGUUAAUCGGAAUUACUGGGCGUAAAGCGCGCGUAGGCGGUCUGAUAAGCCGGUUGUGAAAGCCCCGGGCUCAACCUGGGAACGGCAUCCGGAACGGUCAGGCUAGAGGGCAGGAGAGGAAGGUAGAAUUCCCGGUGUAGCGGUGAAAUGCGUAGAGAUCGGGAGGAAUACCAGUGGCGAAGGCGGCCUUCUGGACUGACACUGACGCUGAGGUGCGAAAGCGUGGGUAGCAAACAGGAUUAGAUACCCCAGUAGU